rnacentral:rRNA from 1 species
AGUGAACGCUGGCGGUAGGCCUAACACAUGCAAGUCGAACGGCAGCACAGUAAGAGCUUGCUCUUACGGGUGGCGAGUGGCGGACGGGUGAGGAAUACAUCGGAAUCUACUUUUUCGUGGGGGAUAACGUAGGGAAACUUACGCUAAUACCGCAUACGACCUACGGGUGAAAGCAGGGGAUCUUCGGACCUUGCGCGAUUGAAUGAGCCGAUGUCGGAUUAGCUAGUUGGCGGGGUAAAGGCCCACCAAGGCGACGAUCCGUAGCUGGUCUGAGAGGAUGAUCAGCCACACUGGAACUGCGACACGGUCCAGACUCCUACGAGAGGCAGCAGUGGGGAAUAUUGGACAAUGCGCGCAAGCCUGAUCCAGCCAUACCGCGUGGGUGAAGAAGGCCUUCGGGUUGUAAAGCCCUUUUGUUGGGAAAGAAAAGCAGCAGGUUAAUACCCCGCUGUUCUGACGGUACCCAAAGAAUAAGCACCGGCUAACUUCGUG